CAAGUUUAAUUUUUGUAUAUUUGCUUCGACCCAAUGGAGAUAAAGUUGGCAUUUGAGAUUCUUGUGAACUGUUGGAUAUUCCUGAGUCACUUCGGUUAAUUCUGUAUCUUGCCUGUUCAAUGGACUGAAGUUUUAUUACUUACAUGUUGUCAGUCGCUUGGAUCCACGAAACCAUCCCACAUCUGGCUGAGGACGUGUAUUUUUUACAGUACAAGCUGCUUUGAGAGACUGACGCUCUUGCAUUGGACCCACUACACUUCCAUUUUCAAUUCGGUCGCCCUUCACAUCCAAAAUUAUAACUUCCGAUGGUGGCACUGCAUAAGUGUGUGUUUAAAAUCCCAUAUAUAAUUUCUUUUGUAUACAACUUUAUAAAUUUAAUUUGAUUAAAUUAUUUAUAGAAUGUUAUGGUUAUGAAUCAAAUUGACAAUAAACGAGGAAAGGAAAGCUAAUUUCGACCGUAUUCUAUUCUAUACGGUGCUUUGGAAAAAUAUUUAUACUUAAUAGGGACGGAGA